ACACCCCGAACACACACUCCAUAAAGCCGAGCAGAGAGCGACACACACGCACACUCACCCAGCAGAAGAUCAUAGAUACAGUUUAGACUACAGUGACCAGAGCUGCACUGAUCUUUGUCUGAUUUUACGAAGAUGGUCUUUAAUGGUUUGAGCACAAGAUUUCCCCAAAAGGAUUAUAUAUUCCCUGAUGCCACGUACAUUAUUCUUCGAGGAAUUGCCAACUAAAUGAUAGUGCCUAAAAUAAGGGCUGAAGGUCACCUUUAAUUUACGUCUGGAAGCAGGUGAGAAAACGCAUUUCUGCCUUUCAAGGAGAUGUAACUGAACAUAAACAAGCUCUCGGGCUUGUGGAUGAUCAUGGGAUAUAAUAUUUGUUCUGGAGAAAAGUGGAAGCGGAUCAACGGAAAUGGAUACACGUGAAUAUUGAGCUGUAAUUCAGUGAACAGAAUGUUUAUUUGUCUCAUUUUGAAGUAUCAAUCUUGUGCGUAAAACGCGCGUCUCCAAAAGCGCCCCAGGAAUAUUCUUCAUGAAAUCUGAUUAAAUUCGCAAGAAAAUACAUAUAUGAAACAACUGCACACGAUCUUUUCUUGUAUUUGUCACAAGCAUAUAACCUAAUACCAAUUAUUUGUUUCCAAAAUGUUCUGGGAAUGUUAAACUUGGUUUGCAGAACGUGUGUUUUUGAAUUAGGCUAUUUAAAUAAACUUCAAUAACUUAC